AAUAAGGUGCCUGAAAAAAGGUUUAUUUUGAUAGAAUAACUAAUGUGGGAGUUCCACCCUUAUUA
rnacentral:tRNA from 1 species